rnacentral:rRNA from 1 species
UGGCUCAGGAUGAACGCUGGCGGCGUGCAUAACACAUUCAAGUCGAACGAGGUAGCAAUACCUAGUGGCGGACGGGUGAGUAACGCGUGAGCAACCUGCCCUUGUGUGGGGGAUACCGUCUGGAAACGGACGUUAAUACCGCAUAACAUAGCGGAAUCGCAUGGUUCUGCUAUCAAAGAUUUAUCGCUGGAAGAUGGCCUCGCGUCUGAUUAGAUAGUUGGUGAGGUAACGGCCCACCAAGUCUGCGAUCAGUAGCCGGACUGAGAGGUUGAACGGCCACAUUGGGACUGAGACACGGCCCAGACUCCUACGGGAGGCAGCAGUGGGGAAUAUUGCGCAAUGGGGGCAACCCUGACGCAGCAACGCCGCGUGAAGGAAGAAGGUCUUCGGAUUGUAAACUUUUGUCUUAUGGGAAGAUAAUGACGGUACCAUAGGAGGAAGCUCCGGCUAACUACGUG